AGACUCCUACGGGAGGCAGCAGUGAGGAAUAUUGGUCAAUGGGCGAGAGCCUGAACCAGCCAAGUAGCGUGCAGGAUGACGGCCCUAUGGGUUGUAAAACUGCUUUUAUAAGGGAAUAAAAGUGAGUCUCGUGAGACUUUUUGCAUGUACCUUAUGAAUAAGGACCGGCUAAUUCCGUGC
rnacentral:rRNA from 1 species